AUUUUUUUGUCUAAAAAGUCAUACAAUACUAAAAAGGGAUAUAAGUCAUGGGGAGGAGUCCACGUCGGAUUGAAAAAUCGACCAAUCAAAUGACUCCAUUUUGACACGUCAUAUAUGCUUUGGUCCACAGAAACGGGUCUUUCAUUUGGGCUGUGUUUACUUUUGAUCCAAUUCAAGCUCAUCUCGCUACGGAUGAAACGCGUGAAGUUUGUUCUUCCUCGACGAUUCCUCUUCGUCAUCACCGAUCAAAUUUCCGCAUUUCACCGUUACCGUAAUCCACUCUUGCUCUAUAAUUCUGAUUUAAUGGUUUCGUUCCACCUUCCCCUCUAUCUCCUUCUAUAUAAAGCCAACCCUAAUUGAAACUAUGAAGAAACAGCUACAUCUACCGGCAUGUCUCCCCUCUCCACCGGCAGGUUUUGCUUUUGGAAUCUAUGUUUGGAGGCGUCUUUUCUGUGCCUGUGAAUAAUCCUCACUUGCGCAAAUCUGGAAGUAGACUCAUCAUCGCUAAUCUUGGAGAGAAUGACUUGAAGAACUCAAGUAUGCAACUAGGUACUAUUGCCAAAUUGCGAAGCCCUUUUAGUCCUUAGCAGCCUCAAGGUUGCUCUGUAUGUUGGUGGUCUUUAUAUUUGUGGAAAGAUUGGAUGGGAAUCUGUAAUGAAAAUGGGACAAGACACACGAGAACUGUUCUUCUAUGAAACAUUUCUAUAUUACAACCCUCUCCUUCUCAUUACAAUGAUGGUUUGGUUCUGGGGUGUUAAUCUGUGGGUGUUUUCUCGAACUGGAGUCGAUUACGCAGCAAUAUUUUAUCUAGGACCAGAUCAUCUUAGUCACAAAGAGAUAUGGAAGUGUGCUAGGUGGAUGACGACGAUAAUAUUAACUAGCAUGACUGCGUAUCUGUAUCUAUACUCGCAUGGAGAUGUGUCCUUGGCUGCUUCUCAACCAGUGUAAUAGAUAUUGUUUUGUAUCUCUCUGCUGUGAUCAUUCUCAUCAUCCCUUUCGAUAUCUUCUACAAGGAGACCUCAAGUGAAGAAGUUGACAUCUAUUAAAGAUAUCAAAUCUCUUGACAUUAAAACACGAAUUUCUAUGUUCUGACCCAUGUUCUAAAAAUCGGCCGCCUAACCGCCUAGGCGGCCGCCUGGGCGCUACGCGUCACUCUUCCGCCCCGAUUUAUGUCAAAUCGGUUAAAAAAAUCGGAUAUCUGAUUUUCUCCGCACAGACCGCCUUAAUGACAGCCUAGCCGCUUAGGCGGCCGCCUAACCGCCUAGGCGGCCGCCUAAUCUAUUUUUUUUAUUUUUAAUAAUAUUUUUUUUUAUUUAUUUGAUCUAAAAUUUUAUAAAUAUCAUUUAUGUUCAUAAUUUUGAUGAAAAUUACACUAUAUUAAGUUUAUAUAUUCUAUUUGUGUGUUUUAUACAAUUUUAAACAUGAAAAUGUAUUAAUGUUAUACACAAUUAAAGAUUAACAUGUUUUAUAACAUAGUAAACAGUCUAAAAAUUCCGCCCCGCAUAAUUUCCGAUUAAUCCCCGAUUUUUUCUUUAGGCCUUAGGCUCAACCCGACCGCCCGACUAGCGCCUAGCGCGUUCCCGAACAGGGGUUCUGACUACAUAACAAACCUGGAAUCAUCUUUCGUAGUUGUUCAGAAUUUGAUUGCUAUAGUAUUACUUAUAUGUUUAAUUUUGUCACUCUUUCUUUACUAGGAUCUUCGAGAUCACAUGAGCUCCAAUGUUACAAGUGGAAGCUUAGAAACGUUUCCAUGAGCUGAGCCGAGAUUCAAUGGUCCUUGCAAUUAAAGAUUGGAAAACAGGGCAGUACCUACAGAUUAUGUUUGAAAAACCACAAAAGUUACAAGAGACCAUGAGCUAUUCCAUCACCCAAGCAAUGAAAUGGCACAUCUGCCACAUCCGAAUAUGGUUUCAAGACGCAAACUGUGAUCCAAACUGAAUCUGCUUUGGUAUCAAUGAACUAAAAGUUCAUUCAAUUUUUUUUUUUUUUUCAAUUCGUGUAUAUAUGUGCGUGUAUAUAUUGGGUACAAAAAUCCAUAUAAGAGAACACAACGAAAAACCUAUGUUUUUUUAUCUGUGUA